UCAAAUAUUCAUAUAUUAUACGUAGCUAAAUCGAUCAUGGCAGAUCUACUCUAUGGGAAUAAUUCGUAUUCUUCCAAAUCAAAGCGCCCCAACUCCAAUAAGAAACCACAAAGCGACGCAGUUUUAGGUCAUUCCAUACGCCAUGAAAGUAGCAACACCAACAAUGGUGUAGCUGCUCCUGCUGCAGAAUAUGUGUAUAACAACAAUGAACCUCCAGCAAAUCCAGAGAAGCCACAGCCCAAACGCGACGAAGGCCGUCGCCUCUUUGGAAGCAGCACCAAGAAGAAGUAAUUAAUCAUCGGAUCCCCAUUUCUUAUUUAAUUCUAUAUCAUAUGUGUAUUUGGUUAAGUUUGUUACCCUGCAGUUUAAUUAGUAUUUCUUCUUAAUUUUCACGUAUGUUUCUGUAUAUUAUCUACCUUCUAAAUGAAUGAAUGAAUGUGAUUUUAUUUCC
rnacentral:lncRNA from 1 species